CAGAUGCCGAAGGCACAGAUACUGAAGUGGUUGCAUUCCCUUCAGAUGCCUGUACUAGUGCCACUAUGGGAUCUAAUUCUAGCUUUACAGAUGAUCCCAUCAUGAUUGAACCAAGCCCUGGGGCAAUACUAAUUGCAGUACAAGAAGCCAAGACAUUUUCAGAUGAGCCUAAGCCUCUAAUGUCUGGAAGAUGUUUCCUUAUGGCUUCCCCGGGCAGUGAAAGUACAUCAAUAUCAAUA